AUGGUUGUUUUUAAGGCUGUUUUUUGUGAGCUGGAUGGAGGGCGUAGCCAACUGCAACAAAUAGCGGCUGGGCCGCAGCAGCCAGACACUAACAGGAUGUGUUUCCUGAUAGGAAAGCAGGGAGGCCUUCUGAAGUCCUGCUCCAGGACCCUCCUCCCCUGCCCUCCCCACCUUCCUUUCCGAAAGGGAAGGCCAGGGCUGCCAGCCCAGAACAGACCGUGGUCCCACCUGCCUGUCUUGGGCCCGCCAACCUGGCCCUCGGGUACUAGAGCAGCCGCGGAGGCAGGCAUGGCCCCGGGGCCUGGGCACAGCUGCGUGCCGCUCAGGGUGGGCAGAGCGCUGGCGGCUGGUCACCCACAGCCAUCCUGUUGUCCCCCCAGUGCAUGGGUGCCGCGGGCCUGCCCUUGUCGCAGGGCUGCACAGACAGUGCAGGAAAUACCUGGGCACGGUGGAGAGGGCCCUGCUUCCAACCCAGACAUGGCACAUCGGGCCCACACCUGCACAGUUGCCAGGCCAGGGCGUCACCUGGGGGUCCUGGAUGGCGGCACAGGUCCCCUGGCGAGGCCUGAGGCCCGAGGGAGUGUGGUUUGUGCUGACUGCAUCACCCCAGCCCUUGAGCACGUGUACACUGGGGAGAGGCCGUGCCGCCCGCUGAGACCCCACGCCCAGCCGGGGCCCACAAGCGGCCGUGCACCUCUUUACCAGCACACACACCAUGGAUGUGUGCAAACCUCAUGGGCCCCGAGCUGGCUGCUCAUCACCGGACGCCCCCAUCGCAGGGGAGGAGGCUGGGGUAUGGGGAGGCUGUGCACCUGCCCAGGUCACAGAGGUGGUGAGAUAAGCCCAGCUGUGCAACCGGCCUGGUCCCCUCAGCUGGCCUGCCUGCCUGUACCCCACUCACCCCCCGCUUCUGGAACUCCAGAGAGGUCUCGCGACUUUGACACUGAGCCCUGCGCCCUAGAAGCCUUGAGCCUCUUUACUUUGUGGGUUUUUCAUUUGGGGCUUUUAACUUUUUUUUUUUUUUAG
rnacentral:lncRNA from 12 species